rnacentral:sRNA from 1 species
GCUCUUAUUAUUUUUUUCCAACCAUUUUUUUUAGCUAAAAGCCAGGGGUGGCAAAAAUUCUGUAAUUGUGAGAGUGCUUAUUUGUGGGGAUGCCCUUGUAUUUGUGAAACUAGAGAGAGAGAGAGAAAGAGAGAUACAGAAGAUUUUAGGGGUGAAAGAGUGAGAGAGAGACUUAGGGGAUGCGAACUAGUGAGGAAGUGGUAUGAUAUUUUUUUUCUGAGUAUCGUCAAGUGUAAACAUAUUCGCUGGGGUUCCGACAUUUCAUACAACACAUCAAACGCCUGUCCAUGUAGCCACAAUGUAUCAGUAGAAACAAACCUCUCAUCGCAGGCCAGAGAUAGAGAAAGUCUUUCUUUUUUUGUUUUCUCUUCUGUAUGUACCAAUACAUGAACCUGAUUAUAAAGGCAGUUUUUAAUAUAUAUUUUCCACUGAAAUUUGAAAAAGAAAUUGGAAAAGGAUUUUUUUUGUUUUUGUUUUUUUUUUACUUUUUUGAGGGGUGGGUUCAUAACUUGUUCAAAAUUCAAAUUUUUUUAAAAAAUUUCAUUCAACCUAAAUAAUUGAUAUCUUCAGUUGAAACUGGGGUACAAAGAAAUGUUUUCCAAAUUUUUUGUUCAGUUUUCCAAGAAAAAUCUGUGUUUUGUAUUAAAUUGCAAAAAUUAACACAAGAUGGUAAACUAAAAAUAUGUAGUGAUGACCCCCUUCUGCAUGCUAAUAGAUUUUAUGCUUAUUUUUAUGGUGGAAAAAGGGUCGUGUUUUAUAUAUAUACAUUAUAUAUUUUAAGAAACUGCAGUCUUCUGUGUGUGACUGCAUCCAGGCCGUGACUCUCUUCUGACAGGUUUCAAAACUUGUAUAUUACUAUUCUCUAAACGUUUGAGAGACCCGGCGAUUUUUUGGGGGCCCCAGAACUGAGGGGGGCCCUGGCAGUUAAUUCGUCAGUCCAUAUUAUUUAUUGUCACCAGUCAAAUAAAGCUUAAACUGU